rnacentral:rRNA from 1 species
AUUGAACGCUGGCGGCAUGCUUUACACAUGCAAGUCGAACGGUAACAGGCCUUCGGGUGCUGACGAGUGGCGAACGGGUGCGUAAUGCAUCGGAACGUACCCAGAGGUGGGGGAUAACGCAGCGAAAGCUGUGCUAAUACCGCAUGUGAUCUGAGGAUGACAGCGGGGGACCGCGCAGCAAUGUUUGGCCUCGCGCCUUUGGAGCGGCCGAUGUCGGAUUAGCUAGUUGGCGGGGUAAAGGCCUACCAAGGCGACGAUCCGUAGCUGGUCUGAGAGGACGACCAGCCACACUGGGACUGAGACACGGCCCAGACUCCUACGGGAGGCAGCAGUGGGGAAUUUUGGACAAUGGGCGCAAGCCUGAUCCAGCAAUGCCGCGUGGGGGAAGAAGGCCUUCGGGUUGUAAAGCGCUUUUGGCGGGAACGAAACGGUGUCCGCUAAUACCGGGCGCUAAUGACGGUACCUGCAGAAUAAGCACCGGCUAACUACGUG